rnacentral:rRNA from 1 species
CCUACGGGAGGCAGCAGUGGGGAAUAUUGCACAAUGGGCGAAAGCCUGAUGCAGCGACGCCGCGUGAGGGAUGACGGCCUUCGGGUUGUAAACCUCCUUCAGCAGGGAAGAAGCGCAAGUGACGGUACCUGCAGAAGAAGCACCGGCUAACUACGUGCCAGCAGCCGUGGUAAUACGUAGGGUGCGAGCGUUGUCCGGAAUUAUUGGGCGUAAAGAGCUCGUAGGCGGCUUGUCACGUCGGAUGUGAAAGCUCGGGGCUUAACCCCGAGUCUGCAUUCGAUACGGGCUAGCUAGAGUGUGGUAGGGGAGAUCGGAAUUCCUGGUGUAGCGGUGAAAUGCGCAGAUAUCAGGAGGAACACCGGUGGCGAAGGCGGAUCUCUGGGCCAUUACUGACGCUGAGGAGCGAAAGCGUGGGGAGCGAACAGGAUUAGAUACCCUGGUAGUCCACGCCGUAAACGUUGGGAACUAGGUGUUGGCGACAUUCCACGUCGUCGGUGCCGCAGCUACGCAUAGUUACCCGUCCGUCGGGAGGUACGGCCGCGACGGACGUAAACUUAAAUAGAAGUUAGUACGGCGUGAGACGUGCCGAACGGACGACCGACGAGGGGAGGUAGG